rnacentral:rRNA from 1 species
AUGACGUGCUUGCACUGAUUUCAACAAUGCAGCGGGUGGCUAACGGGGGAGUAGCAGGUGGGGAAUCUGCCCAGAAGCAGGGGAUAACACUUGGAAACAGGUGCUAAUACCGUAUAACAACAAAAUCCGCAUGGAUUUUGUUUGAAAGGUGGCUUCGGCUAUCACUUCUGGAUGAUCCCGCGGCGUAUUAGUUAGUUGGUGAGGUAAAGGCCCACCMAGACGAUGAUACGUAGCCGACCUGAGAGGGUAAUCGGCCACAUUGGGACUGAGACACGGCCCAAACUCCUACGGGAGGCAGCAGUAGGGAAUCUUCCACAAUGGACGAAAGUCUGAUGGAGCAAUGCCGCGUGAGUGAAGAAGGGUUUCGGCUCGUAAAACUCUGUUGUUAAAGAAGAACACCUUUGAGAGUAACUGUUCAAGGGUUGACGGUAUUUAACCAGAAAGCCACGGCUAACUACGUGCCAGCAGCCGCGGA